UAACAGCCCAGUGAAGACAGAUGAGGGUGAGUAUUUUUGUCUUCAUUUUACAGAUGAGAAAAUUGGACUCAGGAAGGUGAAGUGUCCUGCUCAAAGGUCACCAUACUGGGUGGCGGUGGAGGAAUUCACUCUCAGAGCUUCUGAUACUCUGUCAUUCAGCGCUGCUUCCUAGGCCAGCAUUUCUAAACGCUCUCCUUCCAUUCAUUAUAAAAGGAGCACCUUAGUAGCAGGAGCAUAUCUGGUUCAUUCUGGCAUCGCCAGUGCUGGCGUAUUCUGGAUGCUUCAUGUCUGUUUGUUAAGCAAAUGAAUUUUUAAAUCCCCCCAGAGGACUUGGGAAGCCGUGAGGCAGCCGCUAUCAACUCUUCUUUCUUGUUUUUCUUCCCAAGUACACUUGCACACAACACACACCAACACAGAUGCACACACACACACACUACACACACACACACACUGUCUCACACAUUCUCUCUCUCACACACACUCACACACAUAGUCACUCUGCCCAUCUCUCUGUCACACACACAUUCCCCAUCUCUUUCUCUCUCUCACACACACGCUCUCCCCAUCUCUCUGUGUCUGUCUUACACACACUGUCCCCAUCUCUUUCUCACACACACAUACACACACACGCACUCUCCCCAUCUGUCUCUCACACACACGCACUCUCCCCAUCUCUCUCUCUCUCACACACACACACACUCCUAUCUCUCUCACACACAAUCUCCCAUCUCUCUCGGACACACAGGCACUCUCCCCAUCUCUCUCUCUCACACACAUACACAGACACUCCCAUCUCACACACACACACACACACACACACACACACACACACACACUUUCUCCGUCCCUCUCGCCCCCGCUCCCUGGACCCUGAAGGCUGCACUCUUGAUGCUUCUUGAAAAUCCUCACGCAAGGGAACACCUGAGAAACCUAAGGAACGACAGGGGUCAGAGGAGCCCUAACAUGUAUGAGGAGACCCGAAAUGCUCCCUGGGGCCGGCUUCUGAGUUAGAGGGAGAAUCUUUACUGACUGCUGGCAGCGUUGGGAUUGUCCCUCUCGCUGUCCCCGGAUUUGUUCUCCCCAGGCCGGGGCCCGCUGGAAGAGACUGCCGUUCAGCGGGUGUGCAGUGACCGCAGAGAGCCACAAGAGGGAGCCAGUGCCGCGGGGAGCCGCCGGCCGCCGAGACCCCGGGGCUCAACUGAACCCACAAAAGAAAUCUGGGCUGAGAGCCCGAGUGCACAACCAGGAGGCUUCGGGAGCAGGACAGACAGAGAGCAUGAGGAAAACCAGAAAUAUGGAGUAAAACAGAGGGGAGACCAAAUUUUAAUUAACUUUAAUAUUAAAAAAUAAAUGGGUGGAGGACUUUCCUCGUUUACACUGCUCCGAUUUGGGGGGGAACAAGCAUAUGUUUUUUUCAUAAUUAAGAAUGAAUAAACAUAUAUUUUAAACAAACUGGAAAAAACAAACAAGGAGCGAGCAAAGAAGUAGGAAAAUCUUGACGUUUCCCUGGAGUUCUGGGAAGAGGCAGCGCAUUCCCAGCCUUGCCUUUGCGGUGGGGCCCUGCCCCCAUUGUUCCUUCUUUACUGUUUCUCCUAAGAAUUUUGCAGGCCUGCUGAGGGUUGAGCACACUACCUUUAGCUUGAAAUGGAAUAGAAGUGAAUUAAUAGCAGGGAAUGUCGAUGUUUUGUGAUGACUCUUGGCUGACACCAUUAAGAUACCAUUUUUACUCCCUUAUGAAGAUAAUCCCUUAAGUGACUGAUGCCAUUAAUGAACCAUAAGCUUCAUUGUUAGAACUUCAUGAGAAACAAUAGUAAAACUGAUUUAGUUGCCUCUUGGAAGCCUCUAUUGAGAGAACUUGUUUUGUGUAUCUGAGGAGGCACAGCUAUAAAGCAAUGAGAAUGUUUUUAAUUAAGCAUCUUAGUUCUCAUAAAUCUAAUUGACACUUUUCCUACAAACCACGGGGACCAACAGG
rnacentral:lncRNA from 1 species